rnacentral:rRNA from 1 species
AGUGGGGAAUAUUGGACAAUGGGGGCAACCCUGAUCCAGCGACGCCGCGUGUGUGAAGAAGGCCUGCGGGUUGUAAAGCACUUUUAGUGGGGACAAAAAGCUACAGGCUAAUACCCUGUGGUCUUGAUUUAACCCAAAGAAAAAGCACCGGCUAACUCUGUGCCAGCAGCCGCGGUAAUACAGAGGGUGCAAGCGUUAAUCGGAAUUACUGGGCGUAAAGCGUGCGUAGUCGGUUAUUCAAGUCGGGUGUGAAAGCCCCGGGCUCAACCUGGGAAUUGCAUUCGAUACUGUGUAGCUAGAGUUCGGCAGAGGGAAGUGGAAUUUCCGGUGUAGCGGUGAAAUGCGUAGAUAUCGGAAGGAACAUCAGUGGCGAAAGCGACUUCCUGGACCAGAACUGACGAUCAGGCACGAAAGCGUGGGGAGCAAA